rnacentral:rRNA from 1 species
UACAGAGGUCUCAAGCGUUGUUCGGAUUUACUGGGCGUAAAGGGCGCGUAGGCGGCGUAACAAGUCACUUGUGAAAUCUCCGGGCUUAACCCGGAGCGGCCAAGUGAUACUGUUGUGCUAGAGUGCGGAAGGGGCUACUGGAAUUCUCGGUGUAGCGGUGAAAUGCGUAGAUAUCGAGAGGAACACCGGUGGCGAAGGCGGCGACCUGGGUCGAGACUGACGCUGAGGCGCGAAAGCGUGGGGAGCAAACAGG